GUAUCGACUCCCCCUGUGCCGUCGUUAACACAAUAAGUACCCCGCCUGGGGAGUACGGUCGCAAGACUAAAACUCAAAGGAAUUGACGGGGGCCCGCACAAGCAGCGGAGCAUGUGGUUUAAUUCGAAGCAACGCGAAGAACCUUACCUAGACUUGACAUCUCCUGAAUUACCCGUAACUGGGGAAGCUCUUCGGAGCAGGAAGACAGGUGGUGCAUGGUUGUCGUCAGCUCGUGUCGUGAGAUGUUGGGUUAAGUCCCGCAACGAGCGCAACCCUUAUCGUUAGUUGCUACCAUUAAGUUGAGCACUCUAGCGAGACUGCCCGGGUUAACCGGGAGGAAGGUGGGGAUGACGUCAAAUCAUCAUGCCCCUUAUGUCUAGGGCUACACACGUGCUACAAUGGUGAGGACAAAGAGACGCAAGACCGCGAGGUGGAGCAAAUCUCACAAACCUCAUCCCAGUUCGGAUUGCAGGCUGAAACUCGCCUGCAUGAAGCCGGAGUUGCUAGUAAUCGCGAAUCAGCAUGUCGCGGUGAAUACGUUCCCGGGCCUUGUACACACCGCCCGUCACACCAUGAGAGUUGGCAAUACCCGAAGUCCGUGGGGUAACCGUAAGGGGCCAGCGGCCGAAGGUAGGGUCAGCGAUUGGGGUGAAGUCGUA
rnacentral:rRNA from 1 species